GUGAAUCAUCAAAUUUUUGAACGCAAAUUGCACUCUCUUUUGAGAGUAUGCCUGUUUGAGGGUCAGUAAUAAUAAAAUCGUGGUGUUGCGUUCUUUGUGACGCACCGGAGAUUGGGCUACCUUGAACUUUCGGGUUUAAGGUGCUUAAAAGUGAAAUUUUUUGCUCACUUUUAGACGUACAUAGAUUUAUUUUAUCGUCUAUUCUGGUGCCAAUUAUCUAUUAGGUGCGAUCACGUUUAUAUGAUCUCUUGCCC
rnacentral:misc_RNA from 1 species